UUCUCUCUGCAACAUGAACAGCAAGGACAGCUUGGGUUUUGUCAUCUGACAGGCCAUCCUUAACUAAUUGUUUUGCGUUACAUGUUUUGUUGGAUCAGGACAGCUCCAAUGUGCGGACUCCGAUCGAUCGCGACUCUUCGGUCCUUUCGAUUCGCAUCUCUCGUGCUUGUUUGGAGGUGCUGAUGGAAUCCUGUACUUGAAAGACACUGCUUCGCGGCCACGACUGUCAUGAACGCAGGAACCGAUUUCGAGAAGGAAUGUAGACAUCAAAGUGCAGCAGUGGGGGGUGGGCCUCUGUGGUCCCAAACCCAGGGAGUUCGAAUCAACACUUCACGUUCGCAACCUGCUUGCUUUUAUUCCUCUUCCGCCUUGACAGUCCUACAAAAGCGAGAAUCGCCCCCAAACUCCAAAGGUUAAGUACAAGAUUCAAAAGGAAAAGGAGAACCCCCAGUAUAAGAAUAGGAAGAAACCAAGCUCCUCUCCAUUGCCUUGAUCCGGGGGAGUCACCAAGGAAGAGCAGGAGAUGAGGGCCUUGUUCGGUGGCCUGGCAUGCUUGUUCUGCAUCGGUCUCCUGGUUUCCAUGGCAAAACCUGGUGCAGCAACAAGAAUUAUUGCACCACCAGUGGCUGCUCCUACUGUGCCUUCACCAAUGGCUUGGCCAUUACACCACAUGAAGCUGGAUCCUUUCUAUAGUAGCAAGAGAAGAGUGCCUAAUGGACCUGAUCCGAUACACAACAGGAGAAGUGGGAAGUCAGGAAGACCUCCAGGAAGAGCAUGAGGACCAGAGGCAUGCAAGCUUUCUUCGCUUGGAAGAUGGAUUACAGGAUUUAUAUGGAUCUCAUAUUAAAUGCAUCUAACAAAUGUGUCAUCUUUAAACACUCCCAGAACACUAGCCAUGAUAUCCUUGCUUUUGCCAAAGUGCUGUUCUUUAUGGAGAUUUUGAAGGUGGUGGGGUGUUUAAAGAGUGCAAGCUUCACCAACACAAAAUACCCACUCAAGAUUCUUGACAAACAUGGGAAGACCUUUCGCUGUUGCUUUACUGACCUCCUUUAUUCUGAGAGUGAGAGGUAGAAAGAGAGAAUGAAAUGGAAGAAACAACAUGACCUGUAACAAAUGCAUUCAAUCGAAGCUCACAGUCUGGUUUUCUU